rnacentral:lncRNA from 1 species
AAGCAUUAAGAAAAGGUUGGUCCUUUUAUUAUUCAAGAGAAAAGAGUUUUUGUUAACUAAGUUAAGGUAUAUUUAAGUAAUUUUCGCAUUAUCAGCCUAUCUGGGGAUAUUUGGUGCAAUUCUUCUUGUAAAUUGCUGACACAAUGUUAAUAAUAUUUAGUGAAAACUAUGUAAUAAUCUUUAAAUUGUGUUUUUUUUUUUAAAUUAUGUUACAAAAGAGGUAAACAAAAGUUUGUGAAACAUUCCUUGUGUUUUGCUUAAAUACAAUCUGGUUGGAUAUUAUCAUGAGAUCGGAUUGGAAUGUAUAAGAUUGUAUAAUUGAAUAUUGUACUAAGUUUUGUAUACUCGUGAAAUAAUUAAAUAAGUAACUGAGAUAUAUGCAUACUUUUAUUAUUUUAUUUCCAUUAGUUUACAUGUACCGCCGAAAAAAAAAAUUAUUAUUUCAUAUAUAUUUUAAAUUUUUUUAUACCCAACAAAAUGAACUAACAAUUAAUGUCUCUUCGAGUAUAAUAUACGUAGUUGGUACAGUACAGAACUUUCGAUAUGCACGUAGUUAUUACAAACCGACUCUCGUCUUCGUUGACUUGACAUUUGACAAAAAGACAAUGUGCUUCAUGUUUAAAGCACUUAUGUAGUGUCAAUGUGAAAAGUGCUUUCUCCACACCCCCAGCUUUUAGAAUUUUUUAGGCUUUCGCAAGUCUAUGAGUUGAAUUUUCUUACAUUCACUUUUCUGAACAAUUUCGUGCACCUUGAUGCUCGGUCAAAAAACGAACGUAAAUAGGUUUCCUCUUAAUUAAGGAAGUGGAAUAAGUUGACGAAUUAUAAUAUAGUAAAUUAAGUUUGUCAUCAUUUCUUUUGCAAACAAAUACCCAUUAAAUGAAGAAAAGAUAAAAUCAAUUCACAGUUUAGUGACAUGAUCACAUCUUAUUUUCACAAAAUGGCAUUAUAAUUAAUAUCUCUUCGAGUUUAAUUUACCUAAAGGACCUGGGUAGUGCCAAUCAUGAACAGAGCUUUCGAUAAGAUGUAUAGCGAUUACUUUAUUGUAUGCAAACGAGUGAUCUCUUCUACGUUGACUUGAUACCUGGACAAAGUGCUUCGUAUUAAAAGCGCUUAUGAGUUAACAUGAAAAGUGCUUUGAUUCACACCGAGUACAAUUGUACAAACAGUAUUCCCCUUCAUGAUUAGUGAUUGCUCCUGAACUUUUAGAAUUUAUGAGCUUCGGGACUAUUUUUAUAAGUUGAAUUUUCUUAUCAUUCACUUUUCCAUACACCUUAUUGCUCGGUCAAAAAUUCAAAACAUAAAUAAUUUUCCUCUUUAAUAAAAGGAUGUUGAGUAAGUUGAUCGAGUCAAUUAUGUUUGGCAUAAUUUCUUUUCCAAACAAAUACUUAUAAAUAAGGGGAAAGGAUAGGAAUACCCUCGUGGUUUAGUGAAAUGAUUACAAGUAUUUUUGUUUUCAAUUGCUUUACGGACACAUAAUGAUGCAAAACACUUUUUUUUUAAACAAAUUUUUCAAGUAUGCAUGAAGGUCUCCAUGAACAUGUUAUAAAAACGGAUUUAUGUGAUCAUUUCUGAAAAUAAGAAAGCCUCCAUAACCAUUUUAGCAAUCCCUUUUCCAAUAUACAUAUAUUGAAAUAUAUGUUUUUUAAUUUUAAU